AAAUAGCUAAUUACAAAUGAGCUGCUGGGUUGUUCACAGCGUGCCUGAGCAGUUCCUGCGGGGACAGCAGUGCUGUGCUCCAUGCAGGUCUGUGCAGGGGGUGUGAGUGACCGUGUCUGGUGCAACAGAAGGUGCAGUGACACCUGAGAGAAAAAUAAAAAGGGUGUUUUAGGAGCCAGGAGGGAGAGCAGAUGGUGCUGGGAAUGACACAGGUGCCCCGAGUCACAAAGCCGUGUGCUCUGAUGUGGGAUGAAUUGCCACCAGCUGGGGGAAGCUGGAGGUGGGCUUUAGCACUUGUUCCUGAGCACCGGGGGGGUGAGAUGUGUCCCAGUGAGGUGCUGGGGAGGGCUCAGCUCCUUCUGUUGGCUCCUUGGGAUUGCUGGCAUGAGAGUGGGUGCGUGUUUGGCUGUGGGCAGCAUCGAGUGGAAGGAUGUUGUUCCGUGCUGCAGAGCGGGCGCAGCUCAGCUCAGCAGACCUCAGCUGCCGAUCUGCACGCAGCAUCAAAGCCAUGCAGGGAGGACUGCCUUUCCACAGCUUGUGGAUUCAGAAGUGCUGAAUCCAUGUCAGAAGAAAAAGUGUUUAAAGACCUUUCAGCCUCCCUCUGUCUGAUGGAACAACGUGUGACCGAGCACAGCUUGUGCCUUGUAGGAGCGAUGACGUGCUUGGGAACAAGUGACUUUCUGCGUCGUCUGCCACGGGCUGUUGACACAGUGUCACUGAUGUACCCUGCUGAUGGACCCCAUGCUUUUCCCUCCAGACUGUGGCAUGGCUCUGUGUUAUGUUCAGAUCUGCCAGUAAAAUUUCUGGGAGGCAAGCUAACGCAGCGGGAGGGGAGACCUCCGGUGGCCUGGUACAGCACAUCCCAAACUUGCCCUGCUGCCUGGGUGUGCCAUGAAAGGCUGGGGACCUCUGGAUGUCAGCAUCUGGGGCCUGCCUGCAGGUGCUGGGAUGACUUGGGACAGCUGUGUGUGUCCUCUGCCUGA
rnacentral:lncRNA from 1 species